rnacentral:lncRNA from 1 species
CGCGGGGCCGCGGGGCCGCGGGGCCGCGGGGCCGCGGGGCCGCGGGGCCGCGGGGCCGCGGGGCCGCGGGGUCAGAUACGGCCUCUGGGGGGCGACCCAACAGCGAGGGGUGCAGGCCCAGGAGGCUGCAGGCAUCCGAGGUGAGGGGCGGGGCAGGGGUGACCCAGGAUCCAUGGGGACACUGGGGGGCACCGGCGGGCGGGGGAGCUGCCUGCACAAGGUGUCACGAAGAGCCGUCCGCUUGCGGGCGAAUCCCUGGACUCUGUAGAAAAGUCAGCGGGGUGUCCUAGCUUGCGACCCCUCGGCGGCCAGCGCGCCCUUCGCCCCAGGCUCGCGAGGGCCACCGGGCCGGGUGACAGAGAACGGGCGCGCAGCGGGCCACGCACGGGCUCCAGAAAAGUCGACGAGGGCAAAGGGCGAGGCCAACGGUCUGGCCCCGCGGGACCCGGUAGCCUCUGGCCGCGCGCACCGGGCUGCAGUUGGAGGGACCAGGCGUCGCCUCGCUCGGUGGGCCGGCCACGACCGCGGCGUGGGCGCCCAACCGCCGCCUCAGCGCCCUGGGUCCUCCGCCCUUUCCCUUGGGUCCCCGAGGGCGUCGCCUGUCGCACGCGAGUCCCGGCAGCCGGGACCCUCCGAUGGGGGACCGGGCUCAGCUGCGGGGCCAGCCAGAGAGCAACAGCUGUCAGCACGGCACCGUCAGGCUUUUCUUUCCAAUGAAGACGCACCGCCGACCACACAGCUGUCUGUGAAUGGCCCCGCGGGUACAAGGACAGGCGAUACAUGGCAGGUCAAUUCUUCCUCCCUCGUGGAGUUAAAGCCGCCAAAUAUGUAA